GACGUAGGGGGCCAGCGUUGUUCGGAAUUACUGGGUGUAAAGGGUUCGUAGGCGGUGUAGCAAGUCGGGAGUGAAAUCUCUGGGCUUAACCCAGAGGCUGCUUCCGAAACUGCUGUGCUUGAGUGUGGGAGAGGCGCGUGGAAUUGCAGGUGUAGCGGUGAAAUGCGUAGAUAUCGGGAGGAACACCAGUGGCGAAGGCGAGUCUCUGGGAUGAUGCUGACGCUGAGGCGCGAAAGCCAGGGGAGCAAACGGG
rnacentral:rRNA from 1 species